AAGAUAAGUUUUCUCUGAGAAUGAACCAUCAAAUGAAUAUUACAAUUUGAUGUAAAAUGUCCCUCAAAAGGCUCAUGUGUUCACAGCAACUGUUAUGUGAGGUCCUGAGGAUUCAGUGACAAAUAAGAUGCAGACAAUUGCUGCCAUCACAGAGGUCCUGGUCUGGUGGACAUCUAAGUUCAUUUCACUGGUGACAAUGCUUCCUGUUGCUGAACUAACUACAACUGCAGCACUCAGACCAGACCGCAAUGAAAAGCUCUGCUUUGGUACUAAAGGCUAGCCUAACACCGGAAGCCCAGACCUACACAACUGAAAUGCAUGUUGAAUUGUACGCCACCAACUCCUGCAGCUUCCUUCAAGUACAAGAUUCCAGCAUACAGGUUGUCCAGAGUUCCUGGAUUCAGGCUUCGCUCAAUCAUCACCUUCUCCGAGCAAGCUGAAGGCAAAGUGCUGCAUCAAACCGAAUUCUAAUACACACCCAGUGGUUAAACACAGGAAUGAGAUGAGCGUGCUACAAUAGGAAGACAUGUGAACAUAGCACGGGGAGCUGAAGCGAGAACAGACAUCACAGAAGACAGGGGACUUAAACAAUAUAUAAAAUAAUGGCUAUGCUGUGAGUCAGUACUAACCUAAGCGCAAUCUUUCAAGGUCACUCGCAGACCUUACAGAGGCAACUAAUGCAAGGAUUUCUGCUUUUUAACAUAUUAUUCUUUGAGAAGGAUCCUGGCUGAAUGGACGACACAUUUCAUUUUCACAGUGAAUCCCAGAGGUGAAAUACAAGACGUUCUCCAUAGACAAUGCACUUGGAAGAAUCACCGUG